UCCCACCAGAUCCUUUACUGGAAAAGUAAAGGAGGAAAAGUAAUGCUAAAGCUUGCCUCACAACCUUAUGGUUUGGUACAAAGCAUGUGGGCUAGUUUCAAACAGGU
rnacentral:snoRNA from 1 species